GCGUCGGCUGGGCAUUGGUGAGCCCUGGUGGCCGUAACCCACCCGCCUUCAGGCUGUGGCGGUUCAACUCCGUCCCGACGCAC
rnacentral:tRNA from 1 species